UUUACUCCUUCGGCACACAGCCUUCCCGGGGGAGACAGCAAUAACACGAACCAGCCAGGGUGCAGGUCUGCGCCGGGCAGGACCGGUCCCUGGGGCAGCUGGAGGGUUCCCCAGCGCUGUCGCCCCCCGAGCAUCGCCCGAAGGUGGCCCCUUCCUCCGGAGCCCACCCCGGCACCCGCCGCCUCCCCUCUGCCUCCCUCCAGUGGGGAAAUCCCGGCUGGAUGGGGAGAAGCCUCCCCGCUCCGGAGCGCCGGGGGAUGCUGCGAGCAGCGCCGCGGCCGCCCCUGCUUCUAAAUCACAGAAAUAAUUUUUCAAAAACCCCAACAACUCAACAGCCGAGUGAGGAGGCUGGGAGGCUCCCACCGCGCCUUCUGCAGCAGCGGGGAGCGGGGGAUUCGCAGCACGGAGAAUGUGCAAAGCAAGAAACAACGCGUAAAGACAUGAGGACAUAGCCCAGUGCAUGCAUCACCUCCCAGCUGCCCCUGUGAUGCUCUAACUUUGCUUCACAAAGGAGUCAGAGGAGCUCACAUGAGGCAAUUGAACAUGUUCUACUGAAUUCUCUAAGAUAUAAACUGAGCCAGCAAUGCAGAGCUCAGGGCAAAUAUUUCUUGUUAUCUCAGAAACCAGGUGGUUAUGGACGCCAGUACCACCUGGAGGGGGCUGAACAGACCCAACCCCUCUAACCUACAUUUGUCACUUGGGGUCUCCAAGAAGAACUCUCUGCAGCUCACAGCCCCCUCCUUUCUCUGCAUCAGGUGUUGGAGACCACCUGAAGAGCUUCAGACUCAGCGGGAACAGAAAGAACAUCCAAAGAUACAACUUUCCAUAGACAAAGAGCUCAAAUACAUCCAUGGAUCUCAGUUGUGGUUUUUAAAGUUACUUAAGAAAAUGGGAGCUUUGAUUCCCAACUUCUUAGGCAAAUAAAUUCCCUUUAUCCCUGAGUCUUCUUUUUUUUUCCCCUUUUCUUUUCCCCCCCCUAAUUUUACCAAAAUUUCUGCAUCUAGAGACAAUGCAAAAUCUACCCAUAAAUAUGUUUCCAGCCUGGCAGUCCCUAUUGUUCUGACACCGAUCAGUGCUCCAAGCAGCAGGUAAGUCAUCUGCCAGGAAGACUGUGCAAGGAGCCCACUUCUCUUUCCUCCCCUGGGCACCACACAGCUGCAGGCAGGGUGCUUGGGUAAUGACAGGGUACUUCUGCAAACAGCCAACUGUGAAGUGACACAUUCCUGUCAGCGGAAAACUCUGCAGAUGUUCUUUAAUCUCUCAACAGAGCAAACAUUUCUGUGCCACCCUAGCAGGGAAACCAUCUUUGUUAUAGCACAUCUGAGCAACUUUGUUCUUUUCCAGAAUAUGUUACAGCACAACUUUGUGUGUCAUGGGGAGCUGCACCCGGCAGACAAGCCUGCUGACUGAGACACUACUGGACACAGAUUUAUUCCUGAAGAAAAGGUUGAACAAGAUAAAAUCCUCAUGGCAGCAUAGAAGUAUCCAAGGCUCCAGGGAACACAAACAAGCUGCAGAGUAAAGCCAGUCACCAUCAACAGCUGAGUGGGUAAUUCACAGCAAACCACAGCUUUGAUUAAAUGCACCCUUUUCCCAGCCACAGAAAAAUUGUUAAAGCUCUUGGAAGUUCCCUACUUGCUUCUAGUACUUACCAAUGGAGCUCUUUAUGCAGAAGACCAGUGACAGAACUGUGCAUCUGUGAAAUGCCCUGAAGCCCUGGAAACAAAAGAUGUCACAGCAUUCAAGGUAUUUCAGAGACCCUGAGGACCUUGUCACUGCAUGAAUUCCACCUACUUUGAAAGUCUUGCCUUUUGCAGUCAAGAGAAUAAGGCAGAAUUGUCCUUAUCUCCUAUCUCUAAAGGCAGGAGCCUGGCAAAAUGAAAGCAUCAUGCACAGUACAUGAGCAACAAGGCUGGGAGAUACGAAUUAUGUCAUUGUUUUCUUCAUAAAGAUUAAAGGUCAUCUGUGCUUGUCCCCUCCAUACAUGGAGCACGCAGGGACGUGGAGACACCCAAACAAAGUCCAUAGCUACUGCAGA